rnacentral:tRNA from 1 species
GUGGCUGUAGUUUAGUGGUGAGAAUUCCACGUUGUGGCCGUGGAGACCCGGGCUCGAAUCCCAGCAGCCACA